GAAAUGCGAUAAGUAAUGUGAAUUGCAGAAUUCAGUGAAUCAUCGAAUCUUUGAACGCACAUUGCGCCCGCCAGUAUUCUGGCGGGCAUGCCUGUUCGAGCGUCAUUUCAACCAUCAAGCCCCCGGGCUUGUGUUGGGGACCUGCGGCCGCCGCAGGCCCCUAAAUACAGUGGCGGGCUCGCUAUCACACCGAGUGCAGUAGUUUUCUUUCUCGCUCAGGGCGUGUAGUGGGUGCUAGCCGUGAAACCCCUUUUUCACAAGGUUGACCUCGGAUCAGGUAGGAAUACCCGCAUCGAUGAAGAACGCA
rnacentral:misc_RNA from 1 species